AAGUCGUAACAAGGUCUCCGUAGGUGAACCUGCGGAGGGAUCAUUAACACGUUUUUAUUAACGUAUUCGCCAAAACACGGAAUCCGACCUAGAAAUAGGUCAGACUAUCCUCCCCACAGAGCGAAGCAUAGAGAUAUGUGAAGCGAUGUGGGCUAUGAUUUUCUAUUGAUUUAUUCACCCUUUUCCACCUGGAUUGAUUUCGAUCAACUCCACUCAAUAACGUGACCUAGCCUUCAUUUUUGACCUAGUCAAAACAUUAAGGCUGAUAUCAAUAAUCUAAGCACAACUCUUAGCAACGGAUAUCUUGGUUCUC
rnacentral:misc_RNA from 1 species